CUCGCUCUGGGUCCACUGAUCUCUUGAUGCACGCGUCCCAUCAGCAGCAGCCGAAAGAGGGUGCUCGGGCGGGAGUGAAAUCCCUGUGAAAUGUGAUCAAGAACACAAAAUGCUGAGGCAGCUCCAGCUAACAUCAGCGCUCAGUCUCCCCGCCCAGGCCAGGGCGGCCCCAUGAAUAUGAAGAUACUUGGAAAGUCUUUACUACAGAGCAUGAUUUCAGGAAUGAUGAAACAAUAAACGAGAAUCUGGUAUUAAUAAUCUGUGGGUUUUAAAUUUUAUGCCAUUCAAAGAUGUGAGGACCAGUCAUUUCAUGUAUCCUACAAAGUGGAACA
rnacentral:lncRNA from 1 species